CCCCAGAGACCCAGAGGAGCAAAGAAAACAGACAUCAGAAUUCAUGUCAAAACUGAACACAAAAUUUGGCUUAUUCAUUCCAAUUCAUAAAACGGGUCCUACAAUAGCUCCUCCAUUGCCACUCCACAGCUUGUGUUUGCUUAAUGUCUUGAACAGGCUUCCAAUUUUCGCUAUGCAAAUCUUUGUUACACUAAAGAACAAGGUUAUCAAACUCUCAAGUUAACUCGUAAACUUGUAAGUUUAGGUCGCUGGUCAAGUUUACAACUUUACAAGCAAACUGUUACAAGUUUGCUUGUUGAUUACACAAUUCAAGUUGGUCUAAACUCCCGAGUUUAGGUUAACAUCAAAACCAAUCCUAAACUGAAUAAAACUUCUAAGAAGAAAACUUACAUUGCUUAAUUGGUGAAUGGAGCGCUCCACAAGCAAAGAGACAGCAACAAAGAUGGUCAACACAGUGGGAACAGACCAUGUAGGAGUCAAGGCAAGCGACCGCGCUUCUUGCACACUAUCCGACAUAUUGAAGUAACCAAAUUUACAGACCAAACCUCAAAUAUGACUAUGCCUUAAAAAACCUCAGGCCAACCUAUUCAGACUUUACUGACUUAAAUUUAAAGGUCUCAUUGAAGAUCAACUAUGCAAAUUGUACAAACAUUCAGUGCUUAAUCAAACUAUAACUUAAGUGGGAUAAUACUGAAUCCCACAAAUAGAAAUCCUAAUUGGUUCUGUCUUUGAUCAGCAGCUAGUUAGCUUGAUCCCUAAUUUAGAUAUAACAAAGAAGGAAGAUCCUGUUAUUUCUAAUGUCUCCAACACAGAUUAUAUAAGAUACCCUUAACUACCAGUCUACCACGUUUGACCAAGGGCAAUGGCCAACAAAGAGAAUCAAGGCAAAGCACCCCCAAAGGAACUUUAGUGGUUCUUCACUCCACAUAAAUU